GAGUUUGAUUAUGGCUCAGGAUGAACGCUGGCGGCGUGCGUAACACAUGCAAGUUGGACGACGGUGCCAUGAAGUGGUAACACGGAGUGGUAUACGGAGUAGCGGACGGGUGAGUACAACAUGAGAAGCUGUCCUUCAGCGGGGGAUAACGUCUGGAAGCGGACGCUAAUACCCCAUAGGCCGAGAGGUUAAAGCAGCAAUGCGCUGGAGGAGGUGCUCGUGCCCUAUCAGCUAGUUGGUGAGGUAAUGGCUCACCAAGGCGACGACGGGUAGCCGGCCUGAGAGGGUGAACGGCCACACUGGAACUGAGAUACGGUCCAGACUCUCUAUCGGGAGGCAGCAGUGGGGAAUAUUGGGCAAUGGGAGGAAUCCUGACCCAGCGACGCCGCGUGAACGAUGACGGCCUUCGGGUUGUAGAGUUCUUUUAUGUGGAAGAAGGAAGUGA
rnacentral:rRNA from 1 species